AACGAACGCUGGCGGCAUGCCUAACACAUGCAAGUCGAACGAGACCUUCGGGUCUAGUGGCGCACGGGUGCGUAACGCGUGGGAACCUGCCCUUAGGUUCGGAAUAACCCCCCGAAAGGGGUGCUAAUACCGGAUAAUGUCUUCGGACCAAAGAUUUAUCGCCUUUGGAUGGGCCCGCGUUGGAUUAGCUAGUUGGUAGGGUAAAAGCCUACCAAGGCGACGAUCCAUAGCUGGUCUGAGAGGAUGAUCAGCCACACUGGGACUGAGACACGGCCCAGACUCCUACGGGAGGCAGCAGUGGGGAAUAUUGGACGAUGGGCGAAAGCCUGAGCCAGCAAUGCCGCGUGAGUGAUGAAGGCCUUAGGGUUGUAAAGCUCUUUUACCCGGGAUGAUAAUGACAGUACCGGGAGAAUAAGCGCCGGCUAACUCCGUG
rnacentral:rRNA from 1 species